UGGGGAAUAUUGCACAAUGGGCGAAAGCCUGAUGCAGCAACGCCGCGUGAGGGACGACGGCCUCGGGUUGUAAACCUCUUUUAGCAAGGAAGAAGCGAAAGUGACGGUACUUGCAGAAAAAGCGCCGGCUAACUACGUGCCAGCAGCCGCGGUAAUACGUAGGGCGCAAGCGUUAUCCGGAAUUAUUGGGGCGUAAAGAGCUCGUAGGCGGUUUGUCGCGUCUGCUGUGAAAACCCGAGGCUCAACCUCGGGCCUGCAGUGGGUACGGGCAGACUAGAGUGCGGUAGGGGAGAUUGGAACUCCUGGUGUAGCGGUGGAAUGCGCAGAUAUCAGGAAGAACACCGAUGGCGAAGGCAGAUCUCUGGGCCGUAACUGACGCUGAGAGCGAAAGGGUGGGGAGCAAACAGGCUUAGAUGACCCUGGUAGUCCACCCCGUAAACGUGGGAACUAGUGUGGGUCCAUUCCACGGAUUCCGUGACGCAGCUAACGCAUUAAGUUCCCCGCCUGGGGAGUACGGCCGCAAGGCU
rnacentral:rRNA from 1 species